AGUGUCCUGGACCCUGCGGAGCGGGCGGUCAUUCGCAUCGCAGAUGAGCGGGAUCGUGUGCAGAAGAAAACCUUCACCAAGUGGGUCAACAAGCACCUCAUCAAGGCCCAGAGGCACAUCAGUGACCUGUAUGAAGACCUCCGCGAUGGCCACAACCUCAUCUCCCUGCUGGAGGUCCUCUCGGGGGACAGCCUGCCGAGGGAGCGGGACGUAAGCAGGAGCUCACGCCUGGUGAGUGGCUGUGCCUGCCGGCCGCAGCGGCACGGGAGCUCCACAAGACCGUGGAGCCCAGCUUUCUGGCGGCUGGUGGCCCAUC
rnacentral:sRNA from 1 species